rnacentral:rRNA from 1 species
AUGGAGGAAACUCUGACCCAGCAAUGCCGCGUGAGCGAUGAAGGUCAUCAUUGUAAAGCUCUUUUCCUGGGAACGAAACAAAUGACGGUACCCAGGGAAUAAGCCCCGGCUAACUACGUGCCAGCAGCCGCGGUAAUACGUAGGGGGCGAGCGUUGUCCGGAAUGACUGGGCGUAAAGGGUGCGUAGGUGGUUUAAUAAGUUAGAAGUGUAAUACCCAGGGCUUAACUCGGGUGCUGCUUCUAAAACUGUUAGGCUUGAGUGUAGUAGAGGAAAGCGGAAUUCAAUGUGUAGCGGUGGAAUGCGUAGAUAUAUUGAAGAACAUCAGUGGCGAAGGCGGCUUUCUGGACUAUAACUGACACUGAGGCACGAAAGCGUGGGGAGCAAACAGGAUUAGAUACCCUGGUAGUCCACGCCGUAAACGAUGGAUACUAGAUGCAGGAGGUAUUCACUCCUUCUGUGUCGCAGCUAACGCAAUAAGUAUCCCGCCUGGGGAGUACGAUCGCAAGAUUAAAACUCAAAGGAAUUGACGGGGAACCGCACAAGCAGCGGAGCAUGUGGUUUAAUUCGAAGCAACGCGAAAAACCCUACCCAAGAC